rnacentral:rRNA from 1 species
GCAGUCGAGCGGUGAGAGAAGCUUGCUUUUCUUGAGAGCGGCGGACGGGUGAGUAAUGCCUAGGAAUCUGCCUGGUAGUGGGGGAUAACGUUCGGAAACGGACGCUAAUACCGCAUACGUCCUACGGGAGAAAGCAGGGGACCUUCGGGCCUUGCGCUAUCAGAUGAGCCUAGGUCGGAUUAGCUAGUUGGUGAGGUAAUGGCUCACCAAGGCGACGAUCCGUAACUGGUCUGAGAGGAUGAUCAGUCACACUGGAACUGAGACACGGUCCAGACUCCUACGGGAGGCAGCAGUGGGGAAUAUUGGACAAUGGGCGAAAGCCUGAUCCAGCCAUGCCGCGUGUGUGAAGAAGGUCUUCGGAUUGUAAAGCACUUUAAGUUGGGAGGAAGGGCAGUAAAUUAAUACUUUGCUGUUUUGACGUUACCGACAGAAUAAGCACCGGCUAACUCUGUGCCAGCAGCCGCGGUAAUACAGAGGGUGCAAGCGUUAAUCGGAAUUACUGGGCGUAAAGCGCGCGUAGGUGGUUUGUUAAGUUGGAUGUGAAAUCCCCGGGCUCAACCUGGGAACUGCAUUCAAAACUGACUGACUAGAGUAUGGUAGAGGGUGGUGGAAUUUCCUGUGUAGCGGUGAAAUGCGUAGAUAUAGGAAGGAACACCAGUGGCGAAGGCGACCACCUGGACUAAUACUGACACUGAGGUGCGAAAGCGUGGGGAGCAAACAGGAUUAGAUACCCUGGUAGUCCACGCCGUAAACGAUGUCAACUAGCCGUUGGAAGCCUUGAGCUUUUAGUGGCGC